CCUACGGGAGGCAGCAGUGGGGAAUAUUGGACAAUGGGGGAAACCCUGCUCCAGCGACGCCGCGUGAGUGAAGAAGUAUUUCGGUACGUAAAGCUCUAUCAGCAGGGAAGAAAGUGACGGUACCUGACUAAGAAGCCCCUGCUAACUACGUGCCAGCAGCCGCGGUAAUACGUCGGGGGCAAGCGUUAUCCGGAUUUACUGGGUGUAAAGGGAGCGUAGACGGCGGAACAAGUCAGAAGUGAAAACCCGGGGCUCAACCCUGGGCGUGAUUUUGAAACUGUUUGGCUGGAGUGCAGUAGAGGUAAGCUGAAUUCCUAGUGUAGCGGUGAAAUGCGUAGAUAUUAGGAGGAACACCAGUGGCGAAGGCGGCUUACUGGACUGAAACUGACGUUGAGGCGCGAAAGCGUGGGGAGCAAACAGGAUUAGAUACCCCGGUAGUC
rnacentral:rRNA from 1 species